AGCAGUCGCCGCGGGAAUACGGAGGGUGCAAGCGUUAAUCGGAAUUACUGGGCGUAAAGCGCACGCAGGCGGUUUGUUAAGUCAGAUGUGAAAUCCCCGAGCUUAACUUGGGAACUGCAUUUGAAACUGGCAAGCUAGAGUCUUGUAGAGGGGGGUAGAAUUCCAGGUGUAGCGGUGAAAUGCGUAGAGAUCUGGAGGAAUACCGGUGGCGAAGGCGGCCCCCUGGACAAAGACUGACGCUCAGGUGCGAAAGCGUGGGGAGCAAACAGGAUUAGAUACCCCAGUAGUCCCUGUCUCUUAUAC
rnacentral:rRNA from 1 species